UAGUCACGCGUAAACGAUGAGUGCUAAGUGUUAGGGGGUUCCGCCCCUUAGUGCUGCAGCUAACGCAUUAAGCACUCCGCGUGGGGAGUACGACCGCAAGGUUGAAACUCAAAGGAAUUGACGGGGGCCCGCACAAGCGGUGGAGCAUGUGGUUUAAUUCGAAGCAACGCGAAGAACCUUACCAGGUCUUGACAUCCUUUGACAACUCUAGAGAUAGAGCUUUCCCUUCGGGGACAAAGUGACAGGUGGUGCAUGGUUGUCGUCAGCUCGUGUCGUGAGAUGUUGGGUUAAGUCCCGCAACGAGCGCAACCCUUAUUGUUAGUUGCCAUCAUUCAGUUGGGCACUCUAGCGAAACUGCCGGUGACAAACCGGAGGAAGGUGGGGAUGACGUCAAAUUAUCAUGCCCCUUAUGACCUGGGCUACACACGUGCUACAAUGGACAGUACAAUGAGCAGCGACACGGCGACGUGAAGCGAAUCUCAUAAAGCUGUUCUCAGUUCGGAUUGUAGGCUGCAACUCGCCUACAUGAAGCCGGAAUCGCUAGUAAUCGCGGAUCAGCACGCCGCGGUGAAUACGUUCCCGGGCCUUGUACACACCGCCCGUCACACCACGAAAGUUUGUAACACCCAAAGUCGGUGAGGUAACCUUCGGGAGCCAGCCGCCUAAGGUGGGAUAGAUGAUUGGGGUGAAGUCGUAACAAGGUAACCA
rnacentral:rRNA from 1 species